CACGAAGGGGGCUAGCGUUGCUCGGAAUCACUGGGCGUAAAGGGUGCGUAGGCGGGUCUUUUAAGUCAGGGGUGAAAUCCUGGAGCUCAACUCCAGAACUGCCUUUGAUACUGAAGAUCUUGAGUCCGGGAGAGGUGAGUGGAACUGCGAGUGUAGAGGUGAAAUUCGUAGAUAUUCGCAAGAACACCAGUGGCGAAGGCGGCUCACUGGCCCGGUACUGACGCUGAGGUGCGAAAGCGUGGGGAGCAAACAGGG
rnacentral:rRNA from 1 species